rnacentral:rRNA from 1 species
AUUUAACGCUGGCGGCGUGCCUAAUACAUGCAAGUAGGACGCAGUUGCGAACGGGUGAGUAACGCGUAGGUAACUGCCUAUUAGAGGGGGAUAACUAUUGGAAACGAUAGCUAAUACCGCAUACUAGUAGAUGGACCUGCGUUGUAUUGGCUAGUAGGUAGGGUAAUGGCCUACCUAGGCGACGGUACAUAGCCGACCUGGAAGGGUGAUCGGCAACACAUGGAAGGGGAAACGGGCCAGACUGCUACGGGAGGGAGCAGUAGGGAAUCUUCGGCAAUGGGGGGAACCCUGAACGAGCAAAGCCGGGUGGGUGAAGAAGGUUUUCGGAUCGUAAAGCUCUGUUGUUAAGGAAGCGGUACUUAACGAGAAAGGGACGGCUAACUACGUGCCAGCAGCCGCGGUAAUAC